AAACCCGGUGAUCUAGCCAUGGGCAGGUUGAAGGUUGGGUAACACUAACUGGAGGACCGAACCGACUAAUGUUGAAAAAUUAGCGGAUGACUUGUGGCUGGGGGUGAAAGGCCAAUCAAACCGGGAGAUAGCUGGUUCUCCCCGAAAGCUAUUUAGGUAGCGCCUCGUGAACUCAUCUUCGGGGGUAGAGCACUGUUUCGGCUAGGGGGCCAUCCCGGCUUACCAAACCGAUGCAAACUCCGAAUACCGAAGAAUGUUAUCACGGGAGACACACGGCGGGUGCUAACGUCCGUCGUGAAGAGGGAAACAACCCAGACCGCCAGCUAAGGUCCCAAAGUCAUGGUUAAGUGGGAAACGAUGUGGGAAGGCACAGACAGCCAGGAUGUUGGCUUAGAAGCAGCCAUCAUUUAAAGAAAGCGUAAUAGCUCACUGGUCGAGUCGGCCUGCGCGGAAGAUGUAACGGGGCUAAACCAUGCACCGAAGCUGCGGCAGCGACGCUUAGGCGUUGUUGGGUAGGGGAGCGUUCUGUAAGCCGUUGAAGGUGGCCUGUGAGGGUUGCUGGAGGUAUCAGAAGUGCGAAUGCUGACAUAAGUAACGAUAAAGCGGGUGAAAAGCCCGCUCGCCGGAAGACCAAGGGUUCCUGUCCAACGUUAAUCGGGGCAGGGUGAGUCGACCCCUAAGGCGAGGCUGAAAAGCGUAGUCGAUGGGAAACAGGUUAAUAUUCCUGUACUUGGUGUUACUGCGAAGGGGGGACGGAGAAGGCUAGGCUGGCCGGGCGACGGUUGUCCCGGUUUAAGCGUGUAGGGGGUGUGACCUGGUAAAUCCGGUUGCAUAUCAACCCUGAGGCGUGAUGACGAUGCACUACGGUGCAGAAGUAGUUGAUGCCCUGCUUCCAGGAAAAUCCUCUAAGCUCCAGGUAACAUUAAAUCGUACCCCAAACCGACACAGGUGGUCAGGUAGAGAAUACCAAGGCGCUUGAGAGAACUCGGGUGAAGGAACUAGGCAAAAUGGUGCCGUAACUUCGGGAGAAGGCACGCUGGCAUGUAGGUGAAGUCCCUUGCGGAUGGAGCUGAAGCCAGUCGAAGAUACCAGCUGGCUGCAACUGUUUAAUAAAAACACAGCACUGUGCAAACACGAAAGUGGACGUAUACGGUGUGACGCCUGCCCGGUGCUGGAAGGUUAAUUGAUGGGGUCAGCCGCAAGGCGAAGCUCUUGAUCGAAGCCCCAGUAAACGGCGGCCGUAACUAUAACGGUCCUAAGGUAGCGAAAUUCCUUGUCGGGUAAGUUCCGACCUGCACGAAUGGCGUAAUGAUGGCCAGGCUGUCUCCACCCGAGACUCAGUGAAAUUGAACUCGCUGUGAAGAUGCAGUGUACCCGCGGCAAGACGGAAAGACCCCGUGAACCUUUACUAUAGCUUGACACUGAACAUUGAGCCUUGAUGUGUAGGAUAGGUGGGAGGCUUUGAAGCGUGGACGCCAGUCUGCGUGGAGCCAUCCUUGAAAUACCACCCUUUAAUGUUUGAUGUUCUAACUCUGCCCCAUAAUCUGGGGUGAGGACAGUGUCUGGUGGGUAGUUUGACUGGGGCGGUCUCCUCCCAAAGAGUAACGGAGGAGCACGAAGGUUAGCUAAUCACGGUCGGACAUCGUGAGGUUAGUGCAAAGGCAUAAGCUAGCUUGACUGCGAGAGUGACGGCUCGAGCAGGUACGAAAGUAGGUCUUAGUGAUCCGGUGGUUCUGAAUGGAAGGGCCAUCGCUCAACGGAUAAAAGGUACUCCGGGGAUAACAGGCUGAUACCGCCCAAGAGUUCAUAUCGACGGCGGUGUUUGGCACCUCGAUGUCGGCUCAUCACAUCCUGGGGCUGAAGUAGGUCCCAAGGGUAUGGCUGUUCGCCAUUUAAAGUGGUACGCGAGCUGGGUUUAGAACGUCGUGAGACAGUUCGGUCCCUAUCUGCCGUGGGCGUUGGAAGAUUGAGAGG
rnacentral:rRNA from 1 species